rnacentral:snRNA from 1 species
GGAGUGGAGGAAUCUAGCUGCGACAUCUGUCAUCCCAUUGAUCGCCAGGAUUGAUUCGGCUGAUCUGGCUGGCUAGGCAGGCAUCCCCUUCCUCCCUCACCACUCCAUGUGCAUCCCUCCCAAAGCUGCAUGCUUGGUCGAUGAGGAUGUCCUCCCCCAAAUAGAGACGGACCAGUCUUCGGUCGAGGGAGUACAAGUAACUGCACUCCUCUGCUAGAAAAAAAAUUAAAUAAAAUCCUAAAUUCCCAACAUGUAUGUGGUCAUUUAGUAUAAAUUAUACACACAAACCGCUUUUAUUAACUGAUUU